rnacentral:misc_RNA from 1 species
GAAAUGCGAUAAGUAAUGUGAAUUGCAGAAUUCCGUGAAUCAUCGAAUCUUUGAACGCACCUUGCGCUCCUUGGUAUUCCUUGGAGCAUGCCUGUUUGAGUAUCAUGAAAUCUUCAAAGUAAAUCUUUUGUUAACUCAAUUGGUUUCUACUUUGGUAUUGGAGGUCUUUGCAGCUUCACACCUGCUCCUCUUUGUUCAUUAGCUGGAUCUCAGUGUUAUGCUUGGUUCCACUCGGCGUGAUAAGUUAUCUAUCGCUGAGGACACUGUAUAAGGUGGCCAAGGUAAAUGCAGAUGAACCGCUUCUAAUAGUCCAUUGACUUGUACAAUACUUUUAUGAUCUGAUCUCAAAUCAGGUAGGACUACCCGCUGAACUUAAGC